rnacentral:misc_RNA from 1 species
UUUUUUUAGCUAUGCAUUACACACCUCAUGUGGAUCUAGCUUUCAACAGCGUAGAACACAUUAUGAGAGAUGUUGAAGGGGGCUGGUUGCUCCGUUAUAUGCAUGCUAAUGGGGCAAGUAUGUUUUUCAUUGUGGUUUACCUUCAUAUUUUUCGCGGUCUAUAUUAUGCGAGUUAUAGCAGUCCUAGGGAAUUUGUUUGGUGUCUCGGAGUUGUAAUAUUCCUAUUAAUGAUUGUGACAGCUUUUAUAGGAUACGUACUACCUUGGGGUCAGAUGAGCUUUUGGGGAGCUACAGUAAUUACAAGCUUAGCUAGCGCCAUACCUGUAGUAGGAGAUACCAUAGUGACUUGGCUUUGGGGUGGUUUCUCCGUGGACAAUGCCACCUUAAAUCGUUUUUUUAGUCUUCAUUAUUUACUCCCCUUUAUUUUAGUAGGCGCCAGUCUUCUUCAUCUGGCUGCAUUGCAUCAAUAUGGAUCAAAUAAUCCAUUGGGUGUACAUUCAGAGAUGGAUAAAAUUGCUUUUUACCCUUAUUUUUAUGUAAAGGAUCUAGUAGGUUGG